rnacentral:tmRNA from 1 species
GGGGGUGACUGGUUUCGACAGGGUAUGUUUGAGGUGGGAAGCAAGCCGUGGUCUCCUCGCCACGCUAAACAGGGGUACCGUCAAAAUGAAUUGACAAGAACGAAACUUUUGAGCCUCAACUGGCUCUUGCCGCAUAACAUAAGCCGGCACGUCUAACCGGGAGUUCUCCCGAUUCCGGGGCGACGUCAUCUUAGGGAGAUGCUCGUACGGACGUGGCUGGUAUGCCGUACGAAAAGAUUGAACCGGCUGGGACGUCGAGCGCGUGUUGUUGGGUGCGACGCGUCCAAGAUUCAACCAACAACUGAGCUUGGAGAAACCUGCCAGGGAUGUGCUUUGGACCGGAGUUCGAUUCUCCGCACCUCCACC